rnacentral:rRNA from 1 species
ACAGUGGACGCGAGCAUCUGUGGCCAAGUUUUUAAGGGCGCACGGUGGAUGCCUUGGCACCAGGAACCGAUGAAGGACGUGGGAGGCCACGAUAGUCCCCGGGGAGCCGUCAACCAGGCUUUGAUCCGGGGGUUUCCGAAUGGGGAAACCCGGCAGUCGUCAUGGGCUGUCACCCAUACCUGAACACAUAGGGUAUGUGGAGGGAACGCGGGGAAGUGAAACAUCUCAGUACCCGCAGGAAGAGAAAACAACCGUGAUUCCGGGAGUAGUGGCGAGCGAAACCGGAUGAGGCCAAACCGUAUACGUGUGAGACCCGGCAGGGGUUGCGUAUGCGGGGUUGUGGGAUCUCUCUUCUGUCGUCUGCCGGCGGCAGGACGAGUCAGAAACCGUUGAUGUAGGCGAAGGACAUGCGAAAGGUCCGGCGUAGAGGGUAAGACCCCCGUAGUCGAAACAUCAGCGGCUCGUUUGAGAGACACCCAAGUAGCACGGGGCCCGAGAAAUCCCGUGUGAAUCUGGCGGGACCACCCGCUAAGCCUAAAUAUUCCCUGGUGACCGAUAGCGGAUAGUACCGUGAGGGAAUGGUGAAAAGUACCGCGGGAGCGGAGUGAAAUAGUACCUGAAACCGUGUGCCUACAAGCCGUGGGAGCGUCGCGCA